GGGGAGGGUAGCGUUCGCUGUAGUCAUUGGCCAUUGUGUGCCGGUGCUGCAGAGAGGACAUGUAUUUUAUGUUCCUUUGUGUGGCCCUGUUUGCGGAGGAGCUGACAUUCAUGCUUUCAUGUGGGAUGUUUUGUGCGUUGUUCUUGGCGCGCCGUUUCCAGGAGUGGGGCGGCUCCAUUGGGAGAUUGUCGUUGAUUAUGUCAUGGUGGGGCCUCUUCUUUUCAAUUGCAAUGGCUUCUGGGGUCGUGGUUCCUGUGUUGUCCCUGAGCGGCUUGAUUGCCCUUGCCUGGUUCCGGCUUGUUUCGAUGUCCUGCUCAUGGGCUUUCGUGGCGGGCGCAGUGCA
rnacentral:lncRNA from 1 species